GAGGGUAUAGCUCAGUGGUAGACUACAUGCUUAGCAUGUGUGAGGGCCUGGGUUCAAUCUCUAGUACCUCCA
rnacentral:tRNA from 1 species